AUUGAACGCUGGCGGCAUGCCUUACACAUGCAAGUCGAACGGCAGCGCGGCCUUCGGUCUGGCCGCGAGCGGCGCACGGGUGAGUUAUGCCUCGAAACAUGCCCACGCGUGGGGGAUCACAGCUCGAAAUAAGCGCUUAUACCGCAUACUCUCCGGGGGGGAACAGGGGGGAUCGCAAGAUCGCGCGGGCUUGGCGUGCCCGAUGUCAGAUUAGCGAGUUGGUGGGGUAAAGGCCUACCAAGGCGACGAUCUGUAGCUGGUCUGAGAGGAUGAUCAGCCACACUGGGACUGAGACACGGCCCAGACUCCUACGGGAGGCAGCAGUGGGGAAUUUUGGACAAUGGGGGCAAGCCUGAUCCAGCCAUUCCGCGUGAGUGAAGAAGGCCUUCGGGUUGUAAAGCUCUUUCGGCAGGAACGAAACGGUGGGCUCUAACAUAGUCCGCUAAUGACGGUACCUGAAGAAGAAGCACCGGCUAACUACGUG
rnacentral:rRNA from 1 species